rnacentral:rRNA from 1 species
AGGAUUAACGCUGGCGGUGUGCCUAAUACAUGCAAGUCGAACGGAUUCUUUAGAAAGUAUUUCGUAUGAAGUAUUUAGUAUCUAGUAGGAAACUACUAAAUACCAAAUACUAAAUACUAGAUACCGGACAAAGAGUUAGUGGCGGACGGGUGAGUAACACGUUGGUACCUGCCCUUUAGUGGGGAAUAACUGGCCGAAAGGUCAGCUAAUACCGCAUGUGGUCUUCGGACUAAAGCCUUCGGGCGCUAAAGGAGGGGCCUGCGUCCCAUUAGCUAGUUGGUAGGGUAAAAGCCUACCAAGGCGACGAUGGGUAGCUGGAUCGAGAGGUUGACCAGCCACACUGGGACUGAGAUACGGCCCAGACUCCUACGGGAGGCAGCAGUAAGGAAUCUUCCACAAUGGACGAAAGUCUGAUGGAGCAACACCGCGUGCAGGAUGAAGGCUUUCGGGUCGUAAACUGCUUUUAUAGAGGAAGAUUAUGACGGUACUCUAUGAAUAAGGACCGCUAACUACGUGCCAGCAGCCGA